AUGGAUACCAAUAGGGCGCCUGGAUCGGACAACAUUCCUGCAAAAUUUUACCAACACUGCUGGGAUAUUGUCAAAAAGGAUAUAAUGUAGCUAUUUGUGCAUUUUCAUGCAGGGUCGCUUGAUGUUCAGCGCCUCAAUCAUGGGAUUAUUACUUUGUUGCCAAAAGUGUCGGGUGCGGACUGAAUCCAACAAUUCCGUCCAAUCUGCCUACUCAGAUGUCCAUAUAAGCUGAUUAUGAAGGUUUUAGACCGUAGAGUCGAGAAACACGCAAACAAACUUAUCAGCUCUACCCAGAAUGCGUUUGUCAAAGGCAGAAAUAUCAUGGAUGGGAUUAUGUCUCUUCAUGAACUGCUUAAUUACAAGCAUGUUAAAAAUCGGGUGGGUAUUGUGCUUAAGCUCGACUUCGAGAAGGCAUAUGAUAAGGUCAAUUGA
rnacentral:rRNA from 1 species